rnacentral:rRNA from 1 species
UAGUCCACGCCGUAAACGAUGAUCACUAGGUGUUCGGGCUAUUGCAGUCUGAGUGCCCAAGCGAAAGCGAUAAGUGAUCCACCUGGGGAGUACGUUGGCAACAAUGAAACUCAAAGGAAUUGACGGGGGCCCGCACAAGCGGUGGAGCGUGUGGUUUAAUUCGAUGAUACGCGAGGAACCUUACCUGGACUAUAAUGCCUCUGCCAGACGGUGAAAGCCGUUUUUCCUUCGGGACAGAGUGCAAGGUGCUGCAUGGUUGUCGUCAGCUCGUGCCGUGAGGUGUUGGGUUAAGUCCCGCAACGAGCGCAACCCCUAUUGUUAGUUGCCAGCACAUAAUGGUGGGGACUCUAACAAGACUGCCUCCGCAAGGAGUGAGGAAGGCGGGGACGACGUCAAAUCAUCAUGGCCCUUACGUCCAGGGCGACACACGUGCUACAAUGGUCAGUACAGCGGGUAGCGAACUUGCGAAAGUGAGCCAAUCCCAAAAAGCUGAUCUCAGUUCGG